rnacentral:rRNA from 1 species
GAUGAACGCCGGCGGUGUGCCUAAUACAUGCAAGUCGUACGCACUGGCCCAACUGAUUGAUGGUGCUUGCACCUGAUUGACGAUGGAUCACCAGUGAGUGGCGGACGGGUGAGUAACACGUAGGUAACCUGCCCCGGAGCGGGGGAUAACAUUUGGAAACAGAUGCUAAUACCGCAUAACAACAAAAGCCACAUGGCUUUUCUUUGAAAGAUGGCUUUGGCUAUCACUCUGGGAUGGACCUGCGGUGCAUUAGCUAGUUGGUAAGGUAACGGCUUACCAAGGCGAUGAUGCAUAGCCGAGUUGAGAGACUGAUCGGCCACAAUGGAACUGAGACACGGUCCAUACUCCUACGGGAGGCAGCAGUAGGGAAUCUUCCACAAUGGGCGCAAGCCUGAUGGAGCAACACCGCGUGAGUGAAGAAGGGUUUCGGCUCGUAAAGCUCUGUUGCUGGAGAAGAACGUGCGUGAGAGUAACUGUUCACGCAGUGACGGUAUCCAACCAGAAAGUCACGGCUAACUACGUGCCAGCAGCCGCGGUAAUACGUAGGUGGCAAGCGUUAUCCGGAUUUAUUGGGCGUAAAGCGAGCGCAGGCGGUUGCUUAGGUCUGAUGUGAAAGCCUUCGGCUUAACCGAAGAAGUGCAUCGG